AGAGGGCAAAACAAAGACCAGCUGGUAGAAUCCACUAGGAGGCAACUAAAGGUGCAAAGGGAAGAUGCAUGUCUGAGUGUCAAGCCAGCUGGUGCCGAGAGAACUACCCAGGAAGGCCAGGUACAGGUAAUGAGAAGGAAAGCAGUGCGACUGAUUGCAGCAUAGAGCAAGGUAGACUCCAGGAGCACCUCUGGCUUUAGGAGUGGCUGCAGCAGCACCAACCUUCACAUCCUCUCCGUUGAAAUUCCACAGGAAAGAUCAAGUAAGUUUUGUUUGUUCUUCCAUUUCCAGAAAAAGUUUUAACGUAACUCAUUGGCUCUUACAAGUCAUGGGGCAUCCCUGAACGAAGGGAACUUGGGUGAACCAUCCCUGAGUCUACACAUCUGCCAUUCGCCAGGGCUACCGGGGACACUGUCUAAACCAGGCUUCUUGGCUCCACCUCUGAGAUUCUUACUAGAUCUGGACUGGAGAAUGAGAACCCCAGGGAUUCUACUGGCUUCCUGCUCUUGCCAAUUCUCAGAUGGGCUCUACACAACCAUGGUGGCGGAGACCAGGAUCGAGAACCAGAGUGACGAGCAUGUCUCGAGGGGGCAGCAGUGCACUGGAGUCGGCCCGAGUCAGCCUGAACUGAGGGGGAAGGUUCAGAAAUUUUGUCAGCCCAUUGUUUACCACAGGCGUUAUUAAAUAUUAUUAUGUUAACUUGUGAUGAGAUAAAUUACAUUAAAAACAAAGGGA